GAUGAACGCUGGCGGCGUGCCUAAUACAUGCAAGUCGAGCGAACAGACGAGGAGCUUGCUCCUUCGACGUUAGCGGCGGACGGGUGAGUAACACGUAGGUAACCUACCUAUAAGACUGGGAUAACUUCGGGAAACCGGAGCUAAUACCGGAUAAUAUUUCGAACCGCAUGGUUCGAUAGUGAAAGAUGGCUUUGCUAUCACUUAUAGAUGGACCUGCGCCGUAUUAGCUAGUUGGUAAGGUAACGGCUUACCAAGGCAACGAUACGUAGCCGACCUGAGAGGGUGAUCGGCCACACUGGAACUGAGACACGGUCCAGACUCCUACGGGAGGCAGUAGUAGGGAAUCUUCCGCAAUGGGCGAAAGCCUGACGGAGCAACGCCGCGUGAGUGAUGAAGGUCUUCGGAUCGUAAAACUCUGUUAUUAGGGAAGAACAAACGUGUAAGUAACUGUGCACGUCUUGACGGUACCUAAUCAGAAAGCCACGGCUAACUACGUG
rnacentral:rRNA from 1 species